rnacentral:misc_RNA from 1 species
UCUCCGUAGGUGAACCUGCGGAGGGAUCACUACCGGCUUGCAAAAGCUCUGAAACCACUGUUUAUCUACCUGAAUCUGCGUCGGCGGGAGGCCCCACGGCGGGGCCCUAGCCGCAAGGCGCGCGCCCAACACCCCUAAACUUCGUCGUCUUGCGAAUCUCUGAGUAAUUAUAUUAAACAAAAACAACUUUCAACAACGGAUCUCUUGGCUCUG